GUCUGUGCUGAGCAGAGGCCUUUCCGAACGGCUGGGAUGAAACGUGGCGGGGUGAGGUCUCCAGUGCUGGAUUCAGAAGGCAGGCUGGUGCUUCAGAUCAGCCGCUGCAGGAAGAGAGAAAAGCUACCCAUAAAGAAGUGGACACGUGGACUUAUAAAAGCACUGGAACACUCAUAUUUGGGCUAUAAAUACAUGAUGAAUGAAAGAAAAUACUGGGAAGUGCUGUUGGAGCUGGAAACUCUUAGUCAUGCCGUUUGAAGCCGGGCCUCCUGGUCACCCAGCCCCUGCUGACGGCCACGUCCCUCGGAGGUGCGCUGACUGUUUUUAGCCCCAAAGACCAACCACGUAAGAAAUUGCUCAUCAAGGACGCCAUCUGAUUUAAGACUUUGUUAAAAAUAUCGGAUUUUCUCCCAGGGCAGACGCCAGCUGAUGCGCUCUGAGAAUGCCAGGGGAGAAGCAGUUAGGAGCAGAUGUUGCUGUGACUGGUAUUGGCAUGCUUGCCAGCCCUUUCCCAAGCUGAUAACGUGGGUAACGGGAUCCGCGCAGCAUUUGUUUUUGCUUCCUUUUCCCCAACAAUCCGACCGCCUGUCCUCCUUGCUGGGUCACAGGGCUCGUUCCAUUUGCACCAGCCAGGCUCAGGGGACCACUCUCUCUCCCGCUUCAAUGAAUGUCUCCUCUGAGAGGUGUGGCCCAAGGGCCUCCUGUGGACCCAGCAGGGGGGCCAGAGAGGAGGGUCAAGGGUGCCGGCUUAAGGUGACUCUCUGCAGUCCUGCUGCACUCCCAUGGGGCGUGGGGCUCUGUCCAGCGUGCUGAACCCUCCAGCCCUGCCUGGCGAGCGUGCAGACACCUAGGGCUGAGGAGUGUGGCUCUUAUAUUCUUCAGGGGCAGCCAGGAAAACUGCAGGACGUACACGGACUUUACCUUAAAAUCAGGACUGAUUUCCUCUUUUAAAAAUGAUGGGAAGGGGACUUAACCUGGUGCUCCCAAUGCCAGGGCUCCGGGUUCCAUCACUGGUCAAGGAAUUAGAUCCCACAUGCCACAAUUAAAUAUUCCACGUGCUGUCAACUAAGAUCUGAUGUGGCCAAACAAAUAAAUAUGAAAAGGACAAUGGGAAGGGCUUUAUUAUUUCAUAUAAUAUGUGAUUUUAUAUGAAGAAAUUAGAAACUAGAAAUAGAAGGGGUGGCCGAGCCAGCUGAAGGUGAACAUUCGUAACAUGUGCCUGUUUUUUUUUUAAUUUCACUGUUCUUUUCCACUGUGUGUUUCUUUAAAUGUUGAUCGGUCUUAUUCUUAUAGUUUUGUAUUUCACUUCGCACAUUUCACACAGCAUUCUGAGGGUUUUCCUUACAGUGAGCUGAGUUCUUGUAGAUUUUCAGUGCAUCCCUCGGACACCGCACGCCUGGCUGGUUUGCUCCUCGCGUCAUCCUUGGUACUCAGAACACGUGUCUGACACAGCAGGCACCCAAUAAAUAUGGAUCAAAUGAGUCCAUUUCAAGUGGUUCAGCUUAUUAAACCAUUUCCUGAGGUUGGUUUGGAGGACAUUUCCUGUUGUUCGGUUUGCCAUUUAAAGGUAAUAGAUGUAAAGGUGGCGAUGAGGAGUCGACCAGCUGAAGCUCGGGGCUGAGUCUGGCAUGCCGCCUGUGUUUGUAAAUAAAGUUUUAUUGGAACACA